UUCAGCCAGUGUAGGCGUGAAUGUCACUGAAUGGCACAAAAAAACGUCACAUUCGGGUUUUACUGCUAAGAUAGGACUGGAGCAAAGGGGGUAUGGAAACAUAUUGGGCAAUUCCCUGAGGUUCCGGAGUCAUCAAAAUGUUAACAACCCCUGACUUACACGACCUGGGUGCUAUACAUAUUUGCAUCUUCAGUACCUUUAAUGCUUACUUAAAACAAGGAUCCAGCUAAUUCAUGGAAGAAGUAUUGGAUCUGCCAAUUUGAUACAGAACUUCAGUGUAAGUAUACCAAUUUGAUACAGG